rnacentral:rRNA from 1 species
AGUGGCGAACGGGUGAGUAACACGUGAGUAACCUGCCCUUGACUUUGGGAUAACUUCAGGAAACUGGGGCUAAUACCGGAUAGGAGCUCCUGCUGCAUGGUGGGGGUUGGAAAGUUUCGGCGGUUGGGGAUGGACUCGCGGCUUAUCAGCUUGUUGGUGGGGUAGUGGCUUACCAAGGCUUUGACGGGUAGCCGGCCUGAGAGGGUGACCGGCCACAUUGGGACUGAGAUACGGCCCAGACUCCUACGGGAGGCAGCAGUGGGGAAUAUUGCACAAUGGGCGGAAGCCUGAUGCAGCAACGCCGCGUGCGGGAUGACGGCCUUCGGGUUGUAAACCGCUUUCGCCUGUGACGAAGCGUGAGUGACGGUAAUGGGUAAAGAAGCACCGGCUAACUACGUGCCAGCAGCCGCGGUGAUACGUAGGGUGCGAGCGUUGUCCGGAUUUAUUGGGCGUAAAGGGCUCGUAGGUGGUUGAUCGCGUCGGAAGUGUAAUCUUGGGGCUUAACCCUGAGCGUGCUUUCGAUACGGGUUGACUUGAGGAAGGUAGGGGAGAAUGGAAUUCCUGGUGGAGCGGUGGAAUGCGCAGAUAUCAGGAGGAGCACCAGUGGCGAAGGCGGUUCUCUGGGCCUUUCCUGACGCUGAGGAGCGAAAGCGUGGGGAGCGAACAGGCUUAGAUACCCUGGUAGUCCACGCUGUAAACGGUGGGUACUAGGUGU